AAAUAAAAGCCCACUAACGAAGAGCCCAUACCCAACAACCAAAUUAGUUGUUGAAAACCCUAAUUUCCUAAAACUUCAGCUAUUUAAAUCAAACCCAACGCUGCCCCUACUUGUCCUUCGCUUCUUCUCUCUCACCGCCCACACAAUCACAAUCUCUGAAUUUAUCAAUGAAUUUCAGGUUUGAUCAAAAUUUGCCUCUUGAUGUGGAAUCCUUGUCGAAUUAUCAUAAUUAGGAUUUCUCCAUCAUAUGUACACACAGUUCGCUGUUGGUAUAUACGACGGAGGCAGAAAUUUAUGCGGGAGAGUUGAGUCGCUUCGCUUUAGUUUCAAGACAGGCGCAGUGAAUAAUAUUCCUGCUAAAUUCUACUCCAGCUUAUUUACUUCGUUUCUCUUCAUUUACGAUUACUGUUUCUGCAAAAAAAAAAAAAAAAACAAUUGGAUUUUGGUGAGUUUCUGCUAAUAUUCCAAUGAUGGCAUGGAAUCUUUGAGACCUGAUUGUCUAAUUUGAUGACAAUUAUAAGCAUUUUCUGCUGAGGAUAAGGAUACCCCUACCACUAUUAUUUUUGGAUUAAAACUCGUUUUUUAUUUUAUAUAUUUUGAUUUGGAAAUAUUUUUUUUGUUGAUGAAAUUGGAGUUACGGGGUUGGAGAUGAUGAUCGCACUGGGCUCUGAGUAGUUUAUAUCCAAACUGCGGUAUUGAUGGACAAUGCAGCCUAGAAAGCUAUAUCUGAUCUUAAUCCCUCUCACAUUUUCUGUGUUAAUUCUGUUGUUGGAUAUAGUCCUCACAGGCAAAUGCUAUAAAGAUUAUAAUCAUUCAAGGCAGAUGCACUUUUCUGGUUCUGAUGUGUGCAAUAUGUACUUGGGAGCUACUGGACAAGUUACUGCACUCUGUAGAGCAGGGAUUUAAUAAUCAAUUCCUCGUCGCUAACCAAUUGCUUAUAGUUAUAGGCUUUGAAAUAUGUACGUGACACUUUCUUCUUUUUGAUAAAUAAAGAAGAUAUUUAAAAGCA